CCUACGGGAGGCAGCAGUGAGGAAUAUUGGUCAAUGGACGGAAGUCUGAACCAGCCAUGCCGCGUGCAGGAAGACGGCUCUAUGAGUUGUAAACUGCUUUUGUACAAGGGUAAACCUGAAUACGUGUAUUCAGCUGAAAGUACUGUACGAAUAAGGAUCGGCUAACUCCGUGCCAGCAGCCGCGGUAAUACGGAGGAUCCAAGCGUUAUCCGGAUUUAUUGGGUUUAAAGGGUGCGUAGGCGGAUUGAUAAGUUAGAGGGGAAAUGUCCGAGCUUAACUCGGGAACUGCCUCUAAUACGGUUGAUCUAGAGAGUAGAUGCGGUAGGCGGAAUGUAUGGUGUAGCGGUGAAAUGCUUAGAGAUCAUACAGAACACCGAUUGCGAAGGCAGCUUACCAAUCUAUAUCUGACGUUGAGGCACGAAAGCGUGGGGAGCAAACAGGAUUAGAUACCCAGGUAGUC
rnacentral:rRNA from 1 species